rnacentral:lncRNA from 1 species
CUUUAAUUUCUCCAUGGGACUCUGGAACUCUGAGAAAGCCUGACUUCAUACAAGCCUACGCCUCCCAUCUCUUACUGGACCUCCUGGCCACAACUGAAACCUGGAUCACCCCAGACACUCAGCCACACCCAGCUCUCUCCACUAACUACUCCUUCUCUUACACCCCUCGUCCCUCCAGCAGAGGUGGAGGCACAGGCCUGCUCAUCUCUCCCUGGUGGGAAUAUUCCAUUCUUCCUCUUCACCUGCAUGAUCUGUGCUACUUUGAAUGGCAUGCUGUCUCUAUCACUGCCCCAAUCACUCUUCUUGUGGUUGUUCUUUACUGCUCUCCUGGCCCUCUCAGCUGCUUCUUGGAUGACCUUGACAUCUUGUUGAGCUCUCCGCCAGGGGACAAUGCUCCGUUAAUUCUCCUGGGUGACUUCAACCUGCAUGUUGACGACAUUCAUGCAAGCGGCCUUCUGUUGCUCCUACAGUCCUUCGAUUUCUCCCUGUCCCAAUCCCCUGCUACUCACAAAGCAGGCAAUUGUCUUGACCUUGUAUUUUCCUGCAACUGUGGCUGUCCCAUCCUCUCUGUCACUCCUCUGCAUGUCUCUGAUCACUUCUUCAUUUCCUUUAAACCCUGCCUCACCACUAAUUCCUCGCCUCUUUCUGCACCCGCUGUCACCUUCCGCCACAGCUUAAAAUCUCUCUCGCCUUCCUGCUUUGCCUCUGCUACGCUGUCCGCUCUCACUUAUGCCGCACAAUUCUCGGAUCUAUCCACAAACUAACGUUUUCCUCUCUGCCCUACCUUGCACCCUUGACUCUCCCUGUCCGCUGUCUUCUAGACCAGCGUGCCACCCCAUGGCUGACUGAUACAUUACGAGCUAACGGGACUAAACUCUGAGCUGCAGAGCGAAGAUGGUGAAAAAUCCAAGACUCGUUUGGACCUGAAUGCUUACCAGUCACUCUUAGCUACUUUUUACUCUGCUGUCUCAACUAAAACCUCCUUCUACCACAACAAAAUACAAUCUAAAAAAAACCCACACAGACUCUAUGCCACCUUCUCAUCCGUUCUGUCUCCUCCACC